GCCUCCUUGGCUCAGUGGUAAAGCGUCGCACUUGUAAGCUCGACUUGGCGUUCUCAUCUAAAAGAGGAUAAACAGUUGUUCCGAAAGAACAUGCGAAGAUCGGUGGUUCAAUUCCGCUAGGAGGCA